UUCAAUUAAAAGUCAGCAUCACUGAAUUGUUCAUCAGCUCUUGUAUUGGAUCUCAGACUGACCAUCAGAGUCUGUCGCUAUGCCCUGCCCACAUUCUAUUGCAUAGGCUGACGUCACUGCUCAUCUGUCUAGAAUCCCUUGUUUUCAUUUGGGCUCAUUUAGUCAAAUUCCCAAGGAGGAGUUUGUCAAAUGACGACCCCUGGUUUUUCGCCCCCAAAUGGUCGAUCCAAACCAAAAAUUAGACAUGUUUACUUUAUGAAAUGGCCUCUGAGUGCGUGUUCAACCAAUAUGGAGAAGAUGAGCCUCUGGGAGUCACAUGUUCACAUCAGCGUGUCAAUCAAACAUGGCAGCUACUCACACUCUGUGGCGAGAUGAAAGCCUCCUCCGCCGUCAUCAAGAGAACAACAAAGAAGACAAGCAAAAAAAGCCCCCUGGGAUGCUGUCUGCCAGCGAUGUGGCUUUCAACCUCCAGAGAGAACAUCUUUUGAAAGAGCCAGGAGACCAUAAUGAAGUCACAGAGUGGCACAAUUAUUUCCCAAAGAAGGAGCAUUAAUGUACUUCACAAUUCCCCGCGGAGAAGUGUGAUGACAAUUGGUUUGUACAGCUUUGAUCGCUGCUUUAAAUACUGGCCAGGAUCAACUGCAGGGUGAGGCCCCUGUGCCACUGGUUGCAGUAGGUGGUCAUCGUGUCAACGUACGUGACAAGAGAGAAAUCAAAGG